AUGGCGGCUCAGGCACAGACCAUAGAGGUUCCCACGGACGCUGAGCUGCUGCAGGCACAAGCUGACCUGUGGCGCCACAGCCUCUACUACCUCUCCUCCAUGGGUCUACGCUGCGCCGUUGAGCUCGAGAUCCCGACUGCCAUCCACCGCCUCGGCGGGGCUGUCACGCUGCCUGACCUGAUGUCCGCGCUGUCCCUUCCCUCGGCUAAGAUGCCAUUUCUCCGCCGGGUCAUGUGCGUGCUCGUCACGUCGGGCAUCUUCGCUGCCGACAGUGACUCCGGGUCUGAGGUGAUCUACCGCCUCACACCGUUGUCCCGCAUCCUGGUGCACGGUGUAGUGGCGGAUGAGCACCACAGCCAGAAGUAUUUUGUGCUUGGCGUGACCUCGCCGCAUUAUACGGAAGCGGCGAUGGGGCUGGCCGGCUGGUUCAAGAAGGACCAUGAGCCACCGGUGCCGUCACCCUUCGAGGACAUCUUCGGGGUGCCGCUCUGUGAUGACAGAACGCCGCUCCUAGACAAGGAGCUGGACGAUGUUGUCACUCAAGGCUUGGCUGCCCACGACAACCUGGGGAUUGCCACUGUAAUGCGGGAGUGUCAUGAUCUUUUCAAAGGGCUAGACUCAUUGACUGACUGUGGCGGUGGUGACGGCACGACGGCAAGAGCCAUCAUCAAGGCUUACCCACACAUCAAGUGCACUGUGCUAGACCUUCCGAAGGUGGUCGACAAAGCCCCAACGGAUGGUGUCGUUACCUAUGUCGCAGGUGACUUGUUCCAUUCUGUCCCAUCAGCACAAGCUGUGAUGCUCAAGCUUGUGCUACACUUCUGGAGCGAUGAGGAUUGUGUGAAAAUCCUAGCUCAGUGCAAGAAGGCCAUUCCUUCGCGCGAGGAGGGAGGGAAGAUAAUAAUCAUUGAAAUUGUGGUUGGACCUUCCUUAGGGCCAAUAAUGUUUGAAGCCCAACUCCUUAUGGAUAUGCUCAUGAUGGUGAACUCAAAAGGGCGUCAACGGGAUGAAAAUGAAUGGAGCAAACUAUUCACUAAAGCGGGGUUCACGGACUACAAAAUUGUGAAGAAACUAGGAGCUCGAUGUGUCAUUGAGGUCUAUCCAUAA
rnacentral:rRNA from 1 species